UACAGGGGGGGCAAGCGUUGUUCGGAAUUACUGGGCGUAAAGGGUCAGUAGGCGGCCAACUAAGUCCGACGUGAAAUCCCAAGGCUUAACUUUGGAACUGCGUCGGAUACUGGAUGGCUUGAAUUCGGGAGAGGGAUGCAGAAUUCCAGGUGUAGCGGUGAAAUGCGUAGAUAUCUGGAGGAAUACCGGUGGCGAAGGCGGCAUCCUGGACCGAGAUUGACACUGAUGAGCGAAAGCCAGGGGAGCAAACGGG
rnacentral:rRNA from 1 species